UUUUAAUUUUUAGUUUUUCACGCAUUAAUUAAAAGGCUGCCAUUAAUUAGUUUCCAAAAAAUGUAAAGAUAUGUUAGUAUACAUUAUAACCACCAUUGUACAAAUUACUCUUACUUAGAUAAAGAGAAAAUAUGAUCCCGAUAAAGGUUUAAGAUAAGCCGCAUGGAUAUUGAGUAUCGCUUUUAUUUAAAUUGAAACGGCAUAACAUAAUUUGCGACUGUACGUGCCUUUGUUCAAAAUUGUUAAAUUAACCACACGCUUAAACAACAUAAACCUAAGUAAUAAAUACAAUAUUAAAUAAAUCGCAAUAUAGGCGCACAAUUCCUGCAUAGACAAAAUACACAUAGUUCUCGUAUUUAACAUGAGAUUACUUACUAAUAAUUAAAAGAUUGGAAAAGAGAAUUAACAUACAUAUUAAGUCGAAGCUUUCGCAUCUGGGUUCAAGCCUUUUUUGAUCAAAUGGUUGUUAAAAGGUGGAAUAAUAUCAGCGACCAGUGGCUUAAAUGGAGGAACCGAGACAAAAAAUCAGAAGCUGCUUUAUCAAAACUGAGAAAGUAUGUGUAUUACGAACAACUAAAUUUUCUCGAGAAGGGUUUAUAUCACCGGUCAACUGAGUCUAACAUGGCCUAUAAGCAGACAGAUGAGGCAGGUCAGCAGGAAACAGAAGAACUUCAAUCAGCAGAUCGAGGGAUGGAGACUCCAGAUGCAACCCACCAAAUUUCGCAAACUCCAUCUGCAAAAAACCUUACCGUAAAGACUACAGGUGUACAGCAGUCAACGAUCAAGAGAAAGCGAACUCUCGACGAAUUUGAACUAAGGAUGCUAAAAUCAAUUGAGGCAGGAGACCAAGAGGACCAUAAUAUGAAAUUUUUAAGGGCAUUCUUUCUUCUAUUUAAAAGUUCAAUGACAACCAGAUUGUAGAUUUUCAGAUGGGAGUUCUGCAGGUGAUUAAAAACAUUCAGAACGCUGUUUUUAUUCUAACAACCCAACAUCAACAGCUGCAGAUUUAUACUCUCCCAUACUCUCAAAAACAAACACAACAAUACCCCUGCAACAAUCCAUUGCAGAACUCUCAGCAGUAUCAGUCUUCUGGCCUUUCAUACACUUCACUGCUACCCAGUGUCUCCAAUCAACAUCGAAUGAUUCCAUCAAGUAACAAUUCCACUAACGUAAUAUCUCCACCUUACCUGUCUCCUGAUUCUAAUGACACACAAUCUACGAGUAAUUAUAACGAUUUGUCAUCCCCUUUCUCACAGAAUUCAGAUAUUGACUUUUGAUUUUUUUGAAGUGGAAAUAUAGGUAUUCUUUUAUUAAAAUAGAAUAUUGACCUAAAAUGUA